CAGGAAGUUUGAAAAAACGGCCACUGCCGCCCCCAAUGUCUCGGUCGUGGGUUCGUUAUGCCACUUGUGCGUCAUUCAAAGCCGUUCUGUACAUUUAUACUGGAUAUUAAUUGGAGUCAUUUAGCUGUGCUGAUUCUGCUUGCCGUGUGUUUUGCAUCAGUGCUUCGUGACAUCGGCUGUAUUGCGUGUUUUCGCCGACGGCUUACUACCACAAUGGCGUGAUCUGCGUUCGCCGCCUUCGUGUCUCGGUGCGUCUUUGUAUACGUCGCACGUUCGGACAACACUUUUUCCGACGGCUGGACAUCCUUCUUGUACCUUGGCGCUAGCUGGAUGACGGGACCUCAUCAUGAUCAGUGUAUUGCUUGCCUAUGUCUACAAGAACCGUCACGCGUGGCCUGUGACAGCAAGCUUUUGUGGGCAGCAAGUGCUCUCCUACGAAGGCUGGCCUACUCUGGCAGCGGCGGCAAUCAUCUUCAAGAUUUAUCCAUGAUCACCUUUGCUGCUAUUUGUCACUCUUGUUGAUUACACUUUCUGCAUCUUUUCUAAUUUAUUAGGUAAUAAAGUAUGAGUAUGUGACAUGGUGUGAA